rnacentral:lncRNA from 1 species
UUAUUUUUACUUUAUAAAGAUAGAGGGAUUGUUUACGAUGCUGUAACUCACACCACAUGAAAACAAACCAAAAAAAAAUAAAAAAUAGUGCGUAUAUAACCUUAUUUUUACUUUAUAAAGAUAGAGAGAUCAUUUACGAUGCCGUAACUGACACCACAUGAAAACAAACCAAAAAAAAAAAAAUGUACCCAUGGCAAGUCAAGUUAGAAUUCUCUUCUUACCACUCAUGUACACACUUGCUACAUUUUAAAUUGUAUAUUUGGUUUCUUCUUACUCUUCCACCAAACUCUUUUCAUUUUUAUAGUGACAUAAGCUACUCUUCUCCUUCUUUUUUAUCUUCUCCAUUUUUUGGCACCCAAGGUUUCAUUUCAUUACUUUCUUGAAAAAAAAAUAAAAUGAGGACACCCCCACCCCCACCCCAACCCCUACCCCAACCUCAACAUUCUCAAUUCAUUUUCUAUGUUUUAACUUUCCUCUUGUUGAUUUCAUUCAACAAACAUUUUUCUCAAGUUAUGGCUAAAGACCAACUUUCUUGCACAAUGUGUUCUUCUUGUGACAACCCCACCCCCGCCACCAGAUACUGGUGGCGGGGGUGGUGGGAAUGGUGGCGGAAACUAUCCGCCACCAAAUAAUACUGGUGGUAGUGGUGGCGGGAAUGGUGGCGGAAACUAUCCGCCACCAAAUAACAACCCUUAUGGUUACAUAACUCCACCACCUCCAAAUCCCAUUGUACCAUAUUUCCCUUUCUAUUUUCAUAGCCCACCACCACCUACCUCCAAAUCUAUUCAGUUAAAAGAACACUCUUUUGUCAUUUUUGUUCUUGUUGUAUUAGUUGUUGUAUAAUUUCUUUAUAUGAUAUUGCAGUUUAUAUUUUUCAGGUUCAUUACAAUGUGCAGAAGAACAAGAAGUAGUGGAGUAGUAAUAAUUGUGAGGGUGUCAAUUAUUUUCCAUAAAAAGAAUGGAUCUUGAUUGAUGAAAAAGUUGUUACUUACUAUUACUACUUUUGUUUUUUAACUUUUGUUGAUGAAACAAUAAAGUGGUUGUAAGAAUUAUGUUAUUAGUGAUGCACAUUUUCAUUGUUGUACUUGUAUACAUGUAUUCACUCACCUUGUGUACUACAAUGAAUUUAAGGAUGGAGUAACUUUCUAUAUUUUAUUGCAUUAUAUUGUUUCGAUCAGCUUGAAUGCAUUUCGGCUAAUUUAUAAAGUACGUGCAAAAAUCAAACCGA